CCUACGGGUGGCAGCAGUAGGGAAUCUUCCACAAUGGGCGAAAGCCUGAAGGAGCAACGCCGCGUGGGUGAAGAAGGUCUUCGGAUCGUAAAACCCUGUUGUUAGAGAAGAAAGUGCGUGAGAGUAACUGUUCACGUAUCGACGGUAUCUAACCAGAACGCCACGGCUAACUACGUGCCAGCAGCCGCGGUAAUACGUAGGUGGCAUGCGUUAUCCGGAUUUUGUGGGCGUAAAGGGAACGCAGGCGGUCUUUUAAGUCUGAUGUGAAAGGCUUCGGCUUAACCGGAGUAGUGCAUUGGAAACUGGGAGACUUGAGUGCAGGAGAGGAGAGUGGAACUCGAGGUGUAGCGGUGAAAUGCGUAGAUAUAAGGAAGAACACCGAUGGCGAAGGCAGCUCACUGGUCUGUAACUGACGCUGAGGUUCGAAAGCGUGGGUAGCAAACAGGAUUAGAUACCCCGGUAGUC
rnacentral:rRNA from 1 species